GGGCCUAUCGUUUACGUGGUGCAGACACCGGGUUUGAUACCCCGGAGAUGGCGGUUCGACUCCGCCUAGGUAUUG
rnacentral:tRNA from 1 species